GAUGAACGCUGGCGGCGUGCCUAAUACAUGCAAGUCGAGCGAACGGACGAGAAGCUUGCUUCUCUGAUGUUAGCGGCGGACGGGUGAGUAACACGUGGAUAACCUACCUAUAAGACUGGAUAACUUCGGGAAACCGGAGCUAAUACCGGAUAAUAUUUUGAACCGCAUGGUUCAAAAGUGAAAGACGGUCUUGCUGUCACUUAUAGAUGGAUCCGCGCUGCAUUAGCUAGUUGGUAAGGUAACGGCUUACCAAGGCAACGAUGCAUAGCCGACCUGAGAGGGUGAUCGGCCACACUGGAACUGAGAAACGGUCCAGACUCCUACGGGAGGCAGCAGUAGGGAAUCUUCCGCAAUGGGCGAAAGCCUGACGGAGCAACGCCGCGUGAGUGAUGAAGGUCUUCGGAUAGUAAAACUCUGUUAUUAGGGAAGAACAUAUGUGUAAGUAACUGUGCACAUCUUGACGGUACCUAAUCAGAAAGCCACGGCUAACUACGUG
rnacentral:rRNA from 1 species